AGAAAACUUGUUCAAAUCAAAUUUACAAAGCGAGAUGAAAUAUUAUUAGAUGUGGUUAAUCAAAACUCUCACUGAGAAAAAUUGGCAGAUUUUAGAUAAUUUUAAAGUUUUUCAGUACAAGAUCUAUACAAAUGACAAGAACGUGAAGCUAUUAAGUAUGCUGAAGAGAAGCUUUUCAAUACUUAUCGGCAUCAAUCAAGGCUUCUAAGUCCGAACUGUGCACCAGUCCUUCCAGACUUUGUCGCAUAAGUUGCACAUUGAUAAAAGUUCAGUGACAGUCAUAUUUUUUAUCAGGAUUUUAGUUGUAUGAGUUCCUCAUAAUUAUCUGUCGCUCGGGUGAAUGGCUGAAUAAACCUUUCCACGUAGUAAUAAAUAUGUAGAAAUACUGAAAAAUAACAAAUUAUCAACAUUUAGGAUACAUAAAACAGAUGUAUCUCGUUCGCCUCGGAAGGUAACUCAUUGGCAAUAACCUACUUACAUACGACAAUGACCGUGUUUUGUAAUAAAGGAUCUUUCAAAAGACAUGCCUGGAUGUUUUGAAGUAAAACAGCUGCGGUUUUCUCAUAAAUUUUAUAAAUUGUGAAAUAAAAC